UGGGGCUUCAACUUACAACCCUGAGAUCGAGAGUCACAUGCUCUACCACCCUGACCCUAGACUUUGAAAGUAGAGACCUGGCUUUGAGUCCCAGCUCCACUGCUUCCUGGCUGUGUGGCCUCAGGCAGGCCACAUCACCACUCUGAGCCUUUGUUUCCCCUUCUAUAACUUGGGCCCAAUGCGAGCCACCUCAAGAGGGGCACUGUAAAGCUCCGGGGAAAUGACAUGUAUCAACACAGGGCUGGUGUGGGCAGAAUGUCCACGGCAUACAGGGCUGCAAGCAUCUCACUGCCAUCCUCUGUUUGGUCUCUCCGUAUCCAGUGCCCCUUUGCCUCCGGGACAUACCAGCGGCCAGGAGCAACCCACCCAUGAGCCUGUCUUCGGCUUCCCUCCAUAUGCCCCCCAACUAUCCCUGCUCAAGAGAGGAAAACAGAAGGUCUGGGCCAGAGUCAAACAGCUGGCCAGUAACUCCCUUUUCUGCUCUGUGCCUCAGUUUCCCUAACUGUUAAAUGGCAGCAGGACCAGAGGCUCUCACAGAGUCUGGUCAGUCAGGCAGCAAACAUUUACUGAGUCCUGGCCACAUGCCUGGCUUGGCCAGCUUAGCUGGUCCAGGAAAGCAGGAAACAUUUUCUUCAAACCAGCAAAUCAGAAGUCAGAGUCAGUGAGAAAUCAUUUCCAGUUAGGACCUAAUUUCUUCACACUUCCACCUGGAUGAUCCGGGACCCCAUACUGGGGGGGGGGGUAGCCUUCUGAAGGGUUCCUGACUGCCUCUGCUAGGGAGGGCCGAGGGCCCAAAGCUCUGAGGGGAAGUGACUGGCGGAUGUUGGGGUUCAGGCUAGGGAUGGGAGGGUGGAGGUGACAACAUCACCGGAACAUCUGCUGAGGCCUCUGCCCACAGGAUGUGACUUAGGGAGAGCUCGUGGGAAACAGGCAGGGGCCCCAGCCUGAGAGUCUGACGGUGGAGGCCACCCGAAACCAUGCCAAUGCCUCCCUGCUUCUAUAGUGUACCCAUGAAGCUGACCUCAGAUCACUCCCUGACAUGUCUCAUGACUGCCUAAAACCUCGAUGGCCUCACAUUUCCCCCGGGAGGAGGCUCUCUGCUGCUCACCCGACCCUCGAGGCCCUCUGUGGCAGGGCCUUCCCCCAGAACAGGGUCUCUUGGGACGCCGGGAUCAUCAGACCUACUUCCUCCUACAAGGAGGCUGCAAGGCUGAGCCAUGGAGGAUAAGAGCCACCGGGCCACCCUGAGGACUUCCUGCAGGGAGACAGGUAACAGGGUGCAAUGAGGAGCACAGCCCUGAAGGAGGGAAGGUCCAGGGAGUUAGCAAAGCACAGGAGGGAGAUUCCUGCCACCAUGGUCUGGGAGAGAGCUGGAAAGAGCCUCACAUGUCACAGUUUGUGUUUUCCUGAAACACAGCGGGGGAGGGAAAUACAGGAAGACCCCAUUUUAGAAGGACCUGGAAGGACAGUGAGAGGGACAGAUGGAGAGACCAAAUUGGGAAGACCAGGACUCAGGACCUAUCAGCAGAGGACUGGAGAGGAGGGGCAGGCUGAAAGGGUGCAGAGGUGGUAGAAAGGACAGCUUUGAUGUGGGUUGAUUGUUG